rnacentral:piRNA from 1 species
CGCAGACACACACAGCAUCGCCAUGGGC